rnacentral:rRNA from 1 species
AUAUUGCACAAUGGGGGAAACCCUGAUGCAGCGACGCCGCGUGAGUGAAGAAGUACUUCGGUAUGUAAAGCUCUAUCAGCAGGGAAGAAGAUGACGGUCCCUGACUAAGAAGCCCCGGCUCACUACGUUCCAGCAGCCGCGGUAAUACGUAGGGGGCAAGCGUUAUCCGGAUUUACUGGGUGGAAAGGGAGCGUAGGUGGUGCGGUAAGUCAGAUGUGAGAGCCCGGGGCUCAACCCCGGGACUGCAUUUGAAACUGCCGUGCUAGAGUGCAGGAGAGGUAAGUAGAAUUCCUAGUGUAGCGGUGAAAUGCGUAGAUAUUAGGAGGAACACCAGUGGCGAAGGCGGCUUACUGGACUGUAACUGACACUGAGGCUCGAAAGCGUGGGGAGCAAACAGG